rnacentral:rRNA from 1 species
UACGGGGGGGGCAAGCGUUGUUCGGAAUUACUGGGCGUAAAGGGCUCGUAGGCGGCCAACUAAGUCAGACGUGAAAUCCCUCGGCUUAACCGGGGAACUGCGUCUGAUACUGGAUGGCUUGAGGUUGGGAGAGGGAUGCGGAAUUCCAGGUGUAGCGGUGAAAUGCGUAGAUAUCUGGAGGAACACCGGUGGCGAAGGCGGCAUCCUGGACCAAUUCUGACGCUGAGGCACGAAAGCGUGGGUAGCAAACAGG